UACGAAGGGGGCUAGCGUUGCUCGGAAUUACUGGGCGUAAAGGGCGCGUAGGCGGAUAUUUAAGUUGGGGGUGAAAUCCCGGGGCUCAACCUCGGAAUUGCCUUCAAAACUGGAUAUCUUGAGUUCGGGAGAGGUGAGUGGAACUCCGAGUGUAGAGGUGAAAUUCGUAGAUAUUCGGAAGAACACCAGUGGCGAAGGCGGCUCACUGGCCCGAUACUGACGCUGAAGCACGAAAGCGUGGGGAGCAAACAGG
rnacentral:rRNA from 1 species